UACGUAGGGAGCGAGCGUUGUCCGGAAUUACUGGGUGUAAAGGGAGCGUAGGCGGGACUGCAAGUUGGGUGUCGAAUCUACCGGCUCAACCGGUAGCCGCACUCAAAACUGCAGUUCUUGAGUGAAGUAGAGGCAGGCGGAAUUCCUAGUGUAGCGGUGAAAUGCGUAGAUAUUAGGAGGAACACCAGUGGCGAAGGCGGCCUGCUGGGCUUUUACUGACGCUGAGGCUCGAAAGUGUGGGGAGCAAACAGG
rnacentral:rRNA from 1 species